CAGUUGCCAUCGGUAAGCCGGGCACUCUGGAUGGACUGCCGGCGACAAGCCGGAGGAAGUGGGGAUGACGUCAAGUCAUCAUGACCCUUAUGUCCAGGGCGACACACGUGCUACAAUGGCCGGCACAACGGGAAGCGAAGGGGCGACCCUGAGCGGAUCCCCAUAAAAGCCGGUCCCAGUUCGGAUUGCAGUCUGCAACUCGACUGCAUGAAGUUGGAAUCGCUAGUAAUCGUGGAUCAGCCAAGCCGCGGUGAAUACGUUCCCGGGCCUU
rnacentral:rRNA from 1 species